UACGUAGGGGGCAAGCGUUGUCCGGAUUUACUGGGCGUAAAGAGCGUGUAGGCGGCCACGCAGGUCCGUUGUGAAAACUGGAGGCUCAACCUCCAGCUGUCGACGGAAACCGUAUGGCUAGAGUCCGGAAGAGGGGAGUGGAAUUCCUGGUGUAGCGGUGAAAUGCGCAGAUAUCAGGAAGAACACCAAUGGCGAAGGCAGCUCUCUGGGACGGUACUGACGCUGAGACGCGAAAGCGUGGGGAGCGAACAGG
rnacentral:rRNA from 1 species